GGAGGUAUAGCUCAUUGGUAAAGCGCGUGUUUAGCAUCCAUGAGGUCCUGGGUUCAAUCCCCAGUACCUCCA
rnacentral:tRNA from 1 species